rnacentral:rRNA from 1 species
CACGUAGGGUGCGAGCGUUGUCCGGAAUUAUUGGGCGUAAAGAGCUCGUAGGCGGUGUGUCGCGUCGGCCGUGAAAACCUGCAGCUUAACUGUGGGCUUGCGGUCGAUACGGGCAUCACUGGAGUUCGGCAGGGGAGACUGGAAUUCCUGGUGUAGCGGUGAAAUGCGCAGAUAUCAGGAGGGAACACCGGUGGCGAAGGCGGGUCUCUGGGCCGAUACUGA